ACCGGAGGAUUGGCCCGCGUUCGAUUAGCUUGUUGGUGAGGUAACGGCUCACCAAGGCGAUGAUCGAUAGCUGGUCUGAGAGGAUGAUCAGCCACAUUGGGACUGAGACACGGCCCAAACUCCUACGGGAGGCAGCAGUGGGGAAUAUUGGACAAUGGGCGCAAGCCUGAUCCAGCCAUGCCGCGUGAGUGAUGACGGCCUUAGGGUUGUAAAGCUCUUUCGCUCGGGACGAUAAUGACGGUACCGAGAUAAGAAGCCCCGGCUAACUUCGUGCCAGCAGCCGCGGUAAUACGAAGGGGGCUAGCGUUGUUCGGAAUUACUGGGCGUAAAGCGCGUGUAGGCGGGUCUUUAAGUCAGGGGUGAAAUGCCAAGGCUCAACCUUGGAACUGCCUUUGAUACUGGAGAUCUUGAGUCCGGGAGAGGUGAGUGGAAUUGCGAGUGUAGAGGUGAAAUUCGUAGAUAUUCGCAAGAACACCAGUGGCGAAGGCGGCUCACUGGCCCGGAACUGACGCUGAUACGCGAAAGCGUGGGGAGCAAACAGGAUUAGAUACCCUGGUAGUCCACGCUGUAAACGAUGG
rnacentral:rRNA from 1 species